rnacentral:tRNA from 1 species
UGGGGAGUGGCCAAACGGUAAGGCACCUGACUCUGGAUCAGGCGAUUAGAGGUUCGAAUCCUCUCUCCCCAG